GACGAACGCUGGCGGCGUGCUUAACACAUGCAAGUCGAACGGAAAGGCCCUGCUUUUGUGGGGGGCUCGGUGGCGGAAGGGGGGGGAACAACGGGGGUAACCGCCCCUGACCUUGGGGUAACCUCAAGGAAACGGGGGCAAUAACGGAAAAGAGGCUCUUGCUCCUGGGGGGGGGUUGGAAGGUUCGGCGGUUGGGGGUGGACUUGCGGGUUAACAGCUUGUUUGUGGGGGAGGGGCUUACCAAGGCUUUGACGGGUAGCCGGCCUGAGAGGGUGACCGGCCACAUUGGGACUGAGAUACGGCCCAGACUCCUACGGGAGGCAGCAGUGGGGAAUAUUGCACAAUGGGCGGAAGCCUGAUGCAGCAACGCCGCGUGCGGGAUGACGGCCUUCGGGUUGUAAACCGCUUUCGCCUGUGACGAAGCGUGAGUGACGGUAAUGGGUAAAGAAGCACCGGCUAACUACGUG
rnacentral:rRNA from 1 species